rnacentral:lncRNA from 1 species
AAAUAAAUGUGCUAAAAAUAAACAGGAAACAUGAAAACUCCAAAACCAAACUUGAUAUUUCAUGACUUCAACCAACACGAAACUCAUAUCAUAUACAAACAAAUCUAUGAAACCUCUACUUAACUGAAACACUAGUCUGUCUAGAUCGGGACAAGGCCCCUGGCCGGACCAUAAAACUGACAGAAACUACAUGAGGAUAACAUGCCUUCCGAUGCAAGAGAGGUUCAUCAACUUUGGAGUUCAAGAAGUAAUCUACUGCUGAGCUGGACCCAGAAAAUAUACUUCAGAACCUACAUUAUGAGACAAUGUAGCUGCCACGUAGGACGAUUGGAAUAUAUCGGUGUGUGGAAGAAUUCAAAAGUAGUAGAAUUUAUAUAACAUGAUCAAAAGCAUUAUAAAAACAGUUUAACAUAAUAGAAAUAAAACACAUGGGCAUACUUUAAUGAACUUCAAAACAUUCAUGUAAAUAAAUGAACUCAACUAUUGACUUUAGUUCUAAGCUAGAUGGUACACCCUACAUACAUUCAAUCCCACAGGCUGUAUGGAAUAUGUCCUUAACUCAGCGGUCAUGCUCUCAAUCCAAGUUUUCUGCAAGGAAUGGAGUUUUCAUAGACUAGUAUACCCCCCAUGUUAGUAUACCAUAGGAAUCCCCUCAUGUGAGAUGCCCCAGUUAUCUUCCCAUGUAGAUGACAUAUCAUAAACACCGCAUCGGCAGAACACAAUUUCCAACAAUGAUUUCUUUCACUCCAUUGUUUUCUUUGGGUAACCAUCUAGCUCUCUUUAAGUCCAAUUUUAAUACUAUAAAACCAUGCUUCUUUAUUAUUAAUACGUUCAUUUUUACUUCUGUUAAAGGUAUAUCAUAAUAGGGUAUCAUCAUACCCAGACUGGUAAUUCAUUCAAUAUCAUACCACAUCAUAAUCCUUCUCAUUCGAAAACAUGUAAAUGACCACGAAAAGAUUUAAACAUCUUAUGAGAGUUCUUAUUUAAAAAGCAUGUGCAACUUAUGCAUAAACACACUUUUUCUUCAAGACUUAAACAUAUGGUGGCAAAUGUUUUCAUUUAUCACAAAAAAUUGCUUCAUUUGGACACAAGAGCCUUUUUAUCAUGGGAAACACCCUUUUGAAAAUGUGCAUGAUGACAAUGCAAAAUAGUUAAAGAGGCAUUUAAACUCAAUGAUUAUCAUCAUUCAUAAAACAACUCCAACAUUUGUCGCACAUAAACCUUAUAAUAAAAAAAGGGGUUUAUACUUCAUGUUCUCAAACCCAACAAAUAAUUCAUAAAAUAUUAAGGCCAUAAUUUCAUCAUGGAAAAAGGAAAUUUCACAACUCAUUCUUAAAAUCACCUUUCUAAACUUAUCUCAUAUAUGCAAAAGAUUUUAAUUCAUGCUCUUAAGUGGUUUCUCGAAAUUGCACAUAUAAACAUACAUAAUUAUCAUUCAAAAUCCAAAAAGAAAAAUAUUAUUUAGCCCGUGAUAUUUAGAAUAGUUCUACACACCUUGAAUUUGAGUAGAUGUAGCGCAAAAUCCGACCUUAAAGCUAAAGAUCUUCAAAAGCUAGGUGGUUUCUCUUCUUCUGCUUUAGGGAUGAUAAUUAGAGAUUUUUUAAAAGUGAAAUAACAUAUGUUAAGACCUCAGUUGCGUCCAUAUAAGAUUAGAAAAGAUUAUAGGAUGUGAAAAGACCUCAACACCCUUAAAAUAGAAUAAAAUGGAGCAACUUAUGAUGCUAGGCUUUUGCCUUGUGAUGCAAAACCAAAGCCAACCUUAGGUUUGGCGGUGCACGCCAAAAGCGAACCCCAUCUAGUGGUUUUUUGCAUUUUCUCUGUGAUGCAAGGCCUUUGCAGAGGGUAUAAAUUGUGGAGCUCACACA